AUUGAACGCUGGCGGCAGGCCUAACACAUGCAAGUCGAACGAGUGGCGGACGGGUGAGUAAUGUCUGGGAAACUGCCUGAUGGAGGGGGAUAACUACUGGAAAAGGUAGCUAAUACCGCAUACCAUCGGAUGUGCCCAGAUGGGAUUAGCUAGUAGGUGGGGUAAAGGCUCACCUAGGCGACGAUCCCUAGCUGUUCUGAGAGGAUGACCAGCCACAUGUGAACUGAGCCACGGUCCAGACUCGUACGGGUGGGAGCAGUGGUGAGGAUUGCACAAUGGGCGCAGGCCUGAUACAGCCAUGCCGCGUGUAUGAAGAAGGCCUUCGGGUUGUAAAGUACGUUCAGCGGGGAGGCGGUACUCGCAGAAGAAGCACCGGCUAACUCCGUGCCAGCAGCCGCGGUAAGUC
rnacentral:rRNA from 1 species